rnacentral:rRNA from 1 species
CGCGCAGGCGGUCUUGUCCGUCAGGUGUGAAAGCCCGGGGCUCAACCCCGGAAGUGCACUUGAAACAGCAAGACUUGAAUACGGGAGAGGAGAGAGGAAUUCCUGGUGUAGAGGUGAAAUUCGUAGAUAUCAGGAGGAACACCGAUGGCGAAGGCAUCUCUCUGGACCGAUAUUGACGCUGAGGCGCGAAGGCGUGGGUAGCGAACAGGAUUAGAUACCCUGGUAGUAC